ACAAACCUUUCCUUUCCCAACUUUGGGCUUCAGGUAUUUUGUCUAAGCAAAGAGUAAAAAGUAACUAAGACAGGAAUUUGGUACCGAGGAGUGGGGUCAUUUGCUGUGACUAUAUCUGGCCAUGUUUUUCAAGAGGCUUUGGAAAUGGCUUGUGGGCAGAAUUUGGAAAGGUUUGCACAUGUCGCCUGGAUGCGUAGAGCUGGAGAAGCUUAGGCUAUUCUGUAGAGGAGACUCUGGUCAGAGCUCAGGAGACCAGAAGGCUGAUAGAAAGCCUUAUGGUAAAGACCAGGCUUGGGAGGUUUCUGCUGGGAAGAAGGACUGCAUUGGUUGUUGGACUCCACAUGAUGUGUGUUCUGGCUUGGCAGAAAGUUUGUCUGCAUUUUGUUCAUGCCCAGAGACUUUGCCUGAAACUGAGACAGAGGGCAAUGGACUGAUUAAUCUUGAAAAGGAAAUUAAAAAGCAAUGGAAUAUUGAGCUUGUGGCAUGGCUAUCGUUGGGGGCUUUUAACCAGCUUUAUGCAAAUCAAGAGAUAAGAGCCCAGCAGGACAAUUUGCAAUACUGUGAGUUUGGCCAGAAGGAAAAUUCCAGGAAGGCUGUGGAUUGUAAAGACAGAGUUGAGGUUUUGAUUCCUGAGGAGAAACAGAGAGAGAAGAAAGAUGGCCCUGGGGCAUCCCAGGAAGCGGGCCUGUGCAGCCUCACAGCAAAGGUGAAAGAAUUUACUGAGAGGGAAAAGCUGCAGAGUGCCAUGUUCCAGAGUGGUGACAGCAGCCACAUGAGGUUCCAGAAUGGCAGCAACAUAGAGAAGCUUUUUCUCACAAUCAGGUAAACAGAGCCCUGCAAUCCAGGCAACUGAGCCCUACAGCCAAGAGAGAGAAAAGCCUGGCUAACUGCUCCAGCUAGCAGCAAACCUUGGCGGCAUCCAUAAGGUGUUGAUUUUAGGUGCAAGGAAAAUGCACAAAUUCUGAGGGUAAGACAGCUUCCACCUCGAUUGCUAAGGGCCUGGCAAGCCAAGAGUGUGCCCUUGAGAGGACAAUUUGUGAAGAUGUAAGUGUGAAGCCCAAGGUGCAGUGGAGACCCCAGAAGUUUGGAAAAGCCAGGAAUGUGGAUGAUCCAAGAAAAGCUACAAAAAGCGAGCAGAGAGGAGUUAAGAAAAAAGCUGUAGGAGUUCAAAUCACCAGAAGUGCCAUGGGGGUGGAAUCACCCAAGCCUUUUGGAGCUUGCAACCAGAUUGCUUCAGACGCUGAGCAUGGAACUCUAGGACUUAAUGAAUGUUCGUCCUGCUGGAUGUUGGACUUGCUUUGUUUCCAAUGCUUUAUAUUCCCAUUUGUAACUUUUGGAAUGGUAAUGUUUAUCUUGUGCCUUUUCAGAAAUGUUUAAUCUUGUUUCAUAUGUACAGUGGGUUAUAGUUAAGAGUUUGCCAUAGAUCUUGGAGAAGACUUGGGACUUAGACUGUUCAGCAAUGCUGAAACUUAGGACUUUGACAACUCUUGGAGGUAGACUAAAUGUCUUUUGUAUAAAGGAUGUACAUGAGUCCUGGGGGCCAGGGGUAGAAUGUCAUGGUUUAUGUCUGUGUCCCCCAGGCCUCAUGAGUUUGCAUUGUUCAUUUGUGAUAGUUCAUUGUAUAGUGCUUGGAUUGAUGGUGUCAGUGCUCCACCCACAUAGCCAGGAUGUGAUGUAAUGGCAGGAAGAAGGUGUGUCUUGCUCUUUGCCAGUUCCUGUUUGCUGUUGGUGGCCGCCAUGAACUGCGGCCCAGUCAAACCUUGCCUGCCUUGGAGCCAACUGAGUGCGGACUGAAACCUCCAAAAACUGUCCUCGCUGUGUGGUUGCUGCCACUACCCUGGCGGGCACAGCUACAACCCCAGUGGCUGUAAUCUGCACUGCACCAGUGACCCUUGGUGCCACCGUCCUUCUGGGACCCUCCCUGAGGCGUGGUCCCACCACCUCUGUGGACCGGUGAGUCUGAGCUCCUCAGUUGUCCAGGCAGGGAGGUGGUCACAUCUGCCUGGCAUCUGGCGCUCACGUGCUGCACACACGGACUGCUGUGACCCAGCACUGGGGGCCUGAGAUGAUAAAACGGGCUCAUGGCUGGGCCUGCAGGUGCCGUGAGGAACUAACAGCAGGUGAGGUCUGGCUGUCUUUCCCUGUCUCCCAUAGAACUCAUCGGCUGCCUGCUUGGCCCUGCUGGCCCAGCUCCCGCCCAGACUGUGCCCACCAAGUUGGCAGUGGCAUCUUUCUCAGGGUUUGCAGGGAUUCUCUUCUGCCAGCUCUAAAGUACUUGGUUUCCAGUACUUGGGAGUGAAGUCUCCACCUUCCUGGUCUCUACUCACCGGCUCCCUGUGGGCUCUAGAUGCCCCAGACUGAGCUCAUGCCCAAGCCUAGCAGUCAUUGUCCUGUCCUCCCCCCCCAUGGUCACUGAGGACCUGCAGAACCAGUCCUGAGAUAAUGAUCAGCCAGACACACCUACCUUGCCUGCUACCAACACAAGCUCUGCCUUUGCCCCCCUUUCCUAUAAAACCUCAGACCUUGAACUUCUGCCCCUCUCCCUCUAGCCUAGCCUGCUGAGUGAAGCUCUAUUCCUCGGUCACCCUAGCCUCAGGGCAUGGUGGCUGGGCCUGGUCUGUGGGGACCUCCAGAGCCAGGGCUUCAGCCUGCUCGUAAGAAUGCUGCGUUUCUGUGGGUUCAGCAGAUCCACUGAGUUCCUUCCUGCCACCCAUGGACGAUUUGCUGCCUUGGGGCAGGUCUCUCUGCUGUCCAUGUGCCCUGGCCUGGCCUGUGUUGUCACAGGCAGAGAGGAGCUGGGGACUGCAGCUUGCUUCUCCCUUCCCGAGGUCUGAGCCUAGGACAGACUCCUCUUGGGACAUGAGCUGUCUGCACCCUCUGUGGUCCUGCAGCUCUGCAGCGAAAAGCUGGCUUCAUGGCUGGGCCAACACAGGAAAUAUAAAAGAGAAAAGACACUGCCUGCCCUCGACACACAGGGGCCCUUUCCUGGGCUUUGCGAUCAUGAAAAAAAGGCUCCCAUGGCCUUCUUGUCUCUUGGGCUAGGCAGCCUUGCAGGAAACGCAAGAGGAGAGAGAAAGGAAGCCGGGUCCACAGAGACUCAGGUCCUGGCCGUCCCGCAAGUCUCUCUUCCCCCUUCCCAUCUUCCUGCUCUUGUCACCCCUUUGCAUCUUGUUCACCCGCUGUGACCCAGCUGACUAUGAAGCAGUCUGGCUGCCUCCCUCCCUGCGUGGCGUUGGCUCCCCCAGGCCAGCAGGACCCGUCCCUCCUCUCCUGGUGACAUCACUGGUGACUGGCCCAGUGCAGGUAUUACUUUAUAGUCACCAAAAAGGAACAAAUAACAAAAUCUCGAGGUGAUUUUUCAAAAGAAAAUGUAAUCUAAAAUACAGGUAGUAUGUCUAAAGGUAGGAUGACUUGAUGGCAGUGGCAACAACGUAUCUUUACUUAGGGUUUGGGAGGAAGGGCAGAAACUACAGACACAUCCAGGUUUGAAACAUGUUAAUGGACGAAUAUUUUUCCAGCUAUGUUACCCAAUAAAUACAGCUCCUGGCAGAAGGGUAACUUAAAUGCAACAGGCCAUUCAGGAAACAACAGAAAUUUUGAAAAAAGGAAAAAAGUAUCUAAAAAUCUAGGCUUUGAAUUUUGAGAAUAAAGGGGGCUGGGGAUGUAGCUCAGCAUCACAGCGCCUGCCUGUCAAGCAAGGGCCUGAGUUCGAUUCUGGUAAAAAUGGCACCAACGUGGCUUGGAAGAUGAAGGCAGGCAGACGGGAGCUCCAUAUCCCCAGUGAGCCCUGCGCACAGCAAGGUCCUCCUCUGUUGGAGCCGUUGAAGCUGAGUACACGUGCAGGACUGUGGCAUGGCCGGGGCAUGACUGAACUGAGAAUGAGACAUCUCAGGGGGUAGGACAGGCCACAGCUGAGGCCACCUGGAGCCUCUCUGGAUGGUUUCCUUAAUUAGCAUCAUCUGUUGCUCUGAGCAGUCCUUGGACCCGCCCAAGAUCCUGCUCAGGUUUCCUGUGUUUUCCACUCAGCUCCUUGCUUGUUCUGACUGGCUGAAGCCUUACGAUGUUUUCAUUCCUUAGUUGGAAUGGUUUUAUUCUGUUUUGUUUGAUCUUAUUAUGUGUGAUGGUAUGAACAGCUAUUUUGAAAAAAACAAGACAUUAUGGCAGCCAUUGCUGAUUUGAUAGCAUCUUGCUUUGAAGUCCUACCAUGCUUUUGUUCUUCUGUUUCCAUUGGUUCUAUCAUGUUGUGUCUUGUUGGAUAUUAAUAUGGGUGAUAGUAUAAACAAGUUUUCUAUGGAAAA